rnacentral:lncRNA from 1 species
GGGAGCGGGGGGCCGGAGCACCCCAAGAGUUUUCCCAAUUCCCAAAACUUUCCCUUUUUCCCAACACACCCCCCCCUCCCCAAAAUCAUAAACCCAAACCUGUCCAACUACGGGGGUGCCAUGGAUUUGGGGUCUCCCCCUUUAUUUUUAGGUGCUAGGACCCCAAACAGGGUGCUGGCACCCCAUAAUCAAUGUAGGGAUUUGGGGGGAAUGAUUAAACCCCAUCUCCCACCCCUCAAAUUCCAUGGGAUGCUCCUGCCCCCACCGUGCCCAAAACACCCCCAAACCUCUCAAAUUACGGGGGCGCCAUGAAUUUGGGGUUUCCCCUUUUAUUUUUAGGUGCUAGGACCCCAAACAGGGUGCUAGCACCCCAUAACCAAUGAAGAGAUUAGGGGGAAAGGCUGAAACCCAUCUCCCACCCCCCAAAUUCCAUGAGGGCGCAAUUCCAUGGGAUGCUCCUGCCCCCACCGUACCCAAAACACCCCCAAACCUCUCAAAUUAGGGGACGCCAUGAAUUUGGGGUCUCCCCCUUUAUUUCUGGGUGCUAGGACCCCAAACAGGGUGCUAGCACCCCAUAACCAACGCAUGAAUUUAGGGGGAAAGGACUGAACCCCAUCUCCCACCCCCCAAAUUCCAAGGGGGCGCAAUUCCAUGGGAUGCUCCCGCCCCCACCGCGCCACGGGGGGGUGUGGGCGAUGCUGUCACCCCCCAAAAAAAGCCCCAAAAGGGGGUGUCACCUGGAGGGCGGCGUUGUCCAAGACGUCCAUCUGGAUGUCCUGCGUGGAGCUUAUGCUCCGGCUCCAGAAGAGGUUGGCCUCCAGCGUGCUGCGCUGCGGGAAGAAGAAGGUGUGGCUUGAUCCCAACGAGACCAACGAGAUCGCCAAUGCCAACUCCCGUACGUGGGGGGAUCUGUGGGAUCCAGGAGGGAACAGAGGUUGUGGGGAGCUCGGUAAUGGUGGAGUCGGUUUAGGUUGGUGAAGUCAGUGAGUGUGGGAAAGGUCUCCCAAAAGCAUUUGGUUCAGGGAUUGGUUUAGGUGAAAUUCAGCAGAUUCUUUGGAGGUUAAAGUGAGGAUUUUCAGGAUUUGCACUGAGGAGGUGCCUGGUGGUUCUGAGAUAGUGAGUGAGGGAAUUGGGAUUGUUGGAAGUUCAGUGGGAGAAACGGGGGAAAACAAGCAGGGCUG